rnacentral:rRNA from 1 species
AUGCAACCUUAUGUUCGAUCAUUUGUGGUUCAUCGUGCAAAUCAUAAACUUGCAUUCAAGUUUUAUGGUCUGCAUUUGACUAUUGCCACGAUUGGUGACGUUGCUUAUAGACUGGAAUUACCAGAUUCUAGCAGAAUACAUCCAGACUUUCAUGUUCUCCAAUUGGAGAAGUACAUUCUACUUGUGGCUCAAGUUCAGACAUCUUUACCUCAUGUUGAUGAUGAAUUUCAAAUUCCUCUCAAAUUUCUCCGUCGCAGGGUUCGUCAUGUGGGGUCCAAGACUAUUCCUCGGGUUCUUGUUGAGUGGUCUAGUUCUCCUUCGGCUGAUGCAAGACGAAGAUUCAUUGAAGGAAACGUUUCCUUGUUCUAUGGCUUGGAGACAAGCCACUUCUCAAGAACCAUGGGUGAGACACAUGUGAUGACUUCAUCAAUUUGA